AUCAAUAUAGGAGAAGAAGUUGUUGAUAUUCCAUAGCCCAGAAACAGUUGUUGAUAUGCAGCAAAAACAAAGGUCAUAAAUAGUUGCCUUAAUCCAGUCUGGAAUGAAGAACUGAUUUUCUCCCUCAAAUAACCUAAUGGAGUUUUGAAUUUGGAAGUGUUUGAUAAAGACCUCUUGAAGACAGAUGACAAAAUGGGACAUGCACAACUCAGCCUUCAACCACUUGUCUCUGCUGCUAGACUCAGGCAGAUUCUGCAGAACUUCAAUGGCAAGACGGUGUUAAGGAAGGUUGUCCCAGAUAGUGACAACUGUUUGGUCAGAGAAAGCUCCAUCACUUGUGUCAAUGUUUGAUGCUGCAAAAUUAAGAAAGCUAAGACCAAGUUUCAAGCAGAACGAGGGCUCU